GACAGAGGGUGCAAACGUUGUUCGGAAUUACUGGGCGUAAAGCGCGUGUAGGCGGCUAUGCAAGUCGGGCGUGAAAUCCCACGGCUCAACCGUGGAAGUGCACUCGAAACUGCGUAGCUAGAGUCCCGGAGAGGAAGGUGGAAUACUUGGUGUAGAGGUGAAAUUCGUAGAUAUCAAGUGGAACACCGGUGGCGAAGGCGGCCUUCUGGACGGUGACUGACGCUGAGACGCGAAAGCGUGGGGAGGCAAACAGG
rnacentral:rRNA from 1 species